UACAGAGGUGCCAAGCGUUAGGCGGAAUCACUGGGCUUAAAGCGCGCGUAGGCGGAUGUUUAAGUGUCUUGUGAAAUCCCACGGCUCAACCGUGGAACUGCUGGGCAUACUGGACAUCUCGAGGCACUCAGGGGCGAGCGGAACAAGUGGUGGAGCGGUGAAAUGCGUAGAUAUCACUUGGAACGCCAAUGGUGAAGACGGCUCGCUGGGGGUGUCCUGACGCUGAGGCGCGAAAGCCAGGGGAGCGAACGGG
rnacentral:rRNA from 1 species